UCAAAUUUCCGUAUCAGUCAACAAUGCUAUCAAUCUGAGAGGCGUUACUAUUGAGUAAUCAAUGCAAACUUAAAUUUGAUAUAUGCAGCAUGAUUGAAAUAAACUCUUUUCCCCUUUCUUUCUUUCUUUUCUGCAUAGGGUUUUCCCGUCAUGGUCGACAAAUUCAGGUCUUGAGAGUUUGGUUCUCUCGCAACAGGUAAGUUUAUCUAUCAAUUGUAAUUGUAAUUGCAGUAGGUUUACCAUCUUGAAUUAAUGUUAAGUUAUUAUGAUUAAACCCAUUCUAUUGAGCCCAACAUGAUUGUAUAAAUGUCUGAAAGAUGUUCAGAAUCUUUUAUCUUAAGUACACUUCGUUAGUGCCAUGGGUUUUGUUUCGUAGCAUAUAUACGUUUUCUUCCUAAUUUAUUUAGUUCGAUCUCGGUUAUUCUGCUUUGCCCCCAAUAGUGUUGUUUUAAUUGUAAGACUAUCUACAGGCAUACUACAAAUCUAACGAAGGUAAUUCAGUUUGACUAUCUCUUCUGUUUUAGUUUACAUUUUCUUUUUCCUUUUUUUUUUUUUUCAAAUGUGUGUGCAAUUGUUUCUUCAGUGUUAAAUCGGUAAGAGAAUUAUAAUUGUGGUCAGUAUGGAGAUUUUUCAUUGCGCCUCUUUAUGGGUUUUUUGAUAUCUCUACAGACACAUCAAUAGAGAUCCUUCAUUUUUCAAGUUCAGUUUCUUAUACGGCUGAACCUAAAUCCUGUGACGUGGUCAUUCUCACACUUUUUAAAAAGCCAAGGUAUGGGCUAUGAUUUACUCUGGUGCUUGAGAAACAAAACUUUUGAUGUACUGAUUACUGACUCAUCUCAUUUUGAGAAUUACUAAAUUAUACCGGGCACCAUUUUAAAUUUGAUCUAAUUUGAAUCUCAAUAUUACCCUCACAUAGUUUGUCUAAGAUCUCGAGAUUGCAAUCGGUUAUUAACCUAAACGGAAUUCAUGAGUGUGGUCAAGCAAUCAGAUCUAGAGGUAUCCGCAGCCGUACUUGGUAACUGGGAUACACACACAGUGGUCGAGUAGUACGCUUGUUGGAAGCCAUUGCAGAUUGCAGGAAGCUAUGCACAACAAGCUGCAGGGAGAGAUGGUAGGAAAAAAAUCGGAGGACAUUGAGUGAUUUUGUUUUGAUGCAUUUUAUUUGAAUAUAUAUUGUAAUUAGAGAAUAAACAGUGUAUUCACUAAUUUCAUUUCGAUAAGAAAGAAUCACUACUGGAUUAGAAGUCUGAAUUGUCUUCUGUGG